GGAACGGUUCAGGAGCAAGAUUAUUCCAUGAAAGGAGAACUAUUUUCAUAAAAUGGAAAUUGGCAAUUUACCCAUUGAAGUCUGGAAGAAACUCAGAUGUCUACAUUUCCACUGGGAUGAAUUCUGACAGCCAAGAGGAGGGAGUGCUGACAGUAAAAAAAACAACCUCCUGUUGCUGAGCAGGAGAGGAAGACGCCAGGUGGGACACAGACCCCCACAAAGGAAAUUUGAGCAGUCUCCCAGCUUCCUUCGGGAUAGAGAAAAAUAGGAAACCUGGAGAUGAGAAGAGGGAAUGCAGUAUGGCAGUAUGAUCUUUGGAACAAAUUCAGAAGAUAACAACAAAUAACAGGAGAAAAACUUCUACACAUAUAUUUUCCAAG
rnacentral:lncRNA from 1 species